rnacentral:sRNA from 1 species
CUGCUGCGGGGAAAUCAUGUGGACAUGUCCGUCUAUACCGGCGGCCGUGAGGAUGAGAUGCUCGCCGGAAAUGGCGUCCGUCGCCGCUCCGGUUACCAAAUCGGGGUCUACGCCGCGCAUUAUGUUGGGGUUGCCGGCUUUGCCGAUGCCGGCAAUCUUGCCGUCCUUGAUGCCUACGUCGGCUUUCACCACGCCCAGAAUCGGGUCGAGCACCGUGACGUUGGUUAUGACCAAAUCCAAAGACCCCUCCUCCGAAGUCAUGGUGUUGGCCAGUCCCAUGCCGUCGCG